GGGUCGUUAGCUCAGUUGGUAGAGCAGUUGGCUUUUAACCAAUUGGUCGCUGGUUCGAGUCCAGCACGACCCACCA
rnacentral:tRNA from 10 species